rnacentral:rRNA from 1 species
CAGUCGCCGCGGUAAUACGAAGGGGGCUUGCGUUGUUCGGAAUUACUGGGCGUAAAGCGCACGUAGGCGGUUUAGUAAGUUAGAGGUGAAAGCCUGGAGCUCAACUCCAGAAUUGCCUUUAAGACUGCCGAGCUAGCAGGUGAGAGAGGUAAGUGGAAUUCCGAGUGUAGAGGUGAAAUUCGUAGAUAUUCGGAAGAACACCAGUGGCGAAGGCGGCUUACUGGCUCAUACUGGACGCUGAGGUGCGAAAGCGUGGGGAGCAAACAGGAUUAGAUACCCGGGUAGUCCCUGUCUCUUAUAC